rnacentral:rRNA from 1 species
GCUAUUGACAUAGUUGCACAGGCACUUUGUUGACUCUAGAGAACCUCGGGCCAAUCACACAUCCCCGUGACGGCGACUUUGCAUUCGGAUGUCAUUCAUCAACUUUCGAUGCCAGUUUCUGCGCCUACCCUAGUGACCACGGGUAACGGGGAAUCAGGGUUCCAUUCCGUACAGAAACCCUGAGAAACGGCUACCACAUGCAAGGAUGGCAGCAGGCCCGCAAAUGACCCACUCCUCACGUGGAAAGGUAGUGAUGACAAAUAACAAUACAGGACUAUUUAGAGGCCCUGUAAUUGUAAUGAGU